rnacentral:rRNA from 1 species
GUAGGGAAUAUUGCACAAUGGAGGAAACUCUGAUGCAGCGACGCCGCGUGAGUGAUGAAGGCCUUCGGGUCGUAAAGCUCUGUCGCAGGGGAAUAACACAAUGAAGGUACCCUGUAAGAAAGGAUCGGCUAACUUCGUGCCAGCAGCCGCGGUAAGACGAGGGAUCCUAGCGUUGUUCGGAAUCAUUGGGCGUAAAGCGGAUGUAGGUGGCUUGGUAAGUCAGGUGUGAAAGCCCAGGGCUCAACCCUGGAAGUGCAUUUGAUACUGCUGAGCUUGAGUGUCGGAGAGGUUACCGGAAUACCUGGUGUAGUGGUGAAAUACGUAGAUAUCAGGUGGAACACCGGAGGCGAAGGCGGGUAACUGGACGAACACUGACACUGAGGCCCGAAAGCGUGGGGAUCAAACAGGAUUAGAUACCCUGGUAGUCC